GGAGGAAUUCCACUUAAAAUCUAAUGGACCUGACAGAUGGUUCUGAUGCCUUCACCUGGCUUCUUGGGCUCUUAAAAAGUGGCUGUUGAUUGUCAUGUCAUCUCUUUGUUCUGUCUUCUGCAGCGUCACAGAUGUGCUGGGUGUCUGUGUGUGUGGAAAGCAGGGCAGCUGCCCAGGCCUGAGUGGGCUUGAUGAGGAAGAGUUGCAUCUUAACAGCAGAUCAGAGGGGCUGCUGUUCAUGGAUGUAAGUUACUCACUCACUUUAUUCCCUCUCUGUAACUGAGAAUGACUUGUGUCAUUUAUGAAGUGUAAAUCUAAUCUGGCCGAUCAAAGUUUCUUUUUAGUGCUUUGUUUUUUUAAUAAACUGGGUUUGGUAAUAUUACCGGGUUUGUACAAAUUUAAUUUUCUCUUAAAAAGAAAAAAAGAUCAACAGGGCGAGAGAAUAAAAGACAGAUUGUACCCUGGUCCUACCUCUGAGCAAUAUGCACCUUUAUUCUAGUAAGGUGGUGUCACUAUAAAGACCAAAGGGAUCAGCAACAGCCCAGGGUUGACUUAAAGCACUGAUACCAUGUUUUGUUGGCCUUUACAGGCCAGAUGACACUGUCCAGUUCUUGUGUUGAUGUUUUUUUAUUAACCACAGGUGUAAUACUUCUAAAUUAGUUUCCUGUAUUUUAGUAAUAAUGCUGGCCUUGCAUACAAUCCUCAAUGCUUUAAUUCCUCCGUGUACAGCAUCUGUCUCAGAUAUUAAACUACCUAUUGAGGUAAGUAGUUUGUUUUUUUUGUUCUCUAGCAAAACAGUAUUUCCUUCAGGUUGAUUUCUUUCAAAUUGCCCUGCAUACUCUGAAUGCAUGUGUGUAAAGCAGCAUGUUUCUUCUCUCUAACUUCAUUCCUAGUUCAUUUUCUGUCUGCCAAUCCAAGUUACUGGCCCUGAUGGACCACUUCAGCUUUGCACUGUCAUAGAAUCGUGGAAUUCUAUGGAUUUAUAACAACAACAAACUUCCUUCUCACCAUUCCCUGCUACAUAAGCAAGGGGCUGCUAUUUACUCAUCUUGGGGAUAAGGCAGUUUUGAACUUUUAUUCCUGUAUCUCCAUCAAAACCAUCACCCUCUAGAGACAUGCUUUCGUUCCCAAUACAGCCUCUGAGUUACAGCCAAGACCAAGCUACAGAAUGGUAAGGGGAGGGAAAUAAAUCAGAGAUCUAAGUUCCAAAGAGCCCCAGAAUGCCAGAUAAUCAGUGCCAGAUAUUCAGUAUUCCAAAGGCAAGGUGGGAGGGGCAAAGCUGGGAAUCAAACCCAACUACGUUGCCUGUGACAUUGGUGCCAUUAAAUUGGGUAUGUGGUCUAAUCUUGCAAAUUCCAACACACUUCUUUUUUAAGGACAGAACCUGUUCAGUUUGGCAGAAGAGAAGGAAUGGAGAUUAAAAUGAAAGAGCAACCAAGGCCACAAUUAAAGAAAAACAGCAGCAGCCCAGAGCUCAGCUGGAUGCGAACGUCUCUGCUGGGGUGGCCGGAGCUCUCUCCUGAGGACCUCGCUGCCUGGGCGCUCGGAGGAGAUGAAGAGUCAUUGCCACUCCCUUGGAUGUUGUGGAGAUGACUGCAAUUUGGCUGCAUGGUGGGAUUUUAUCUGGUCCAGAUUCUUGCUGUUUUGUCUCCUAGAGUGGGAUAUAAAAAGUCACACUUGAAGGAAGAGGUAACUGGUUGGGGGGGGAGAAAAAACCAACAACAAAAAAACCAACACAAACAUUCAGUAGGUUGUAACUGAGUGAUUGCCUGUGUGAAGUAAACAUGCUGAGAAAUACUGUCAUGUCUUCAGACUGACUUUGUUCUGAAAGCUGGCAGGCUGGGCUGUGGUGGUGCAGACCCCCCUCCCCAACCAGCAUUGUUCUUGCUUCAAGGACAAGGGCAGUGGGCCCAGCAUUGUUCUUGCUUUGCUUGCAAGUGCAGGGGACUGGGAGAGUCUGGUACCUUCUUGUCCUGAUACAAGUACAGUAAGCUGGGAGGCUGAAGCACUCCCUUAAUGCACCUGAAAUGGCUGUUGCCUGGUAAACAUUCCAGGGACCCCUCCUGCUGGGAUCACCUGACAGGAAUUGUGGCCACCAUGGAAAGGUACUGACCAAGUCAACUAUUUCAGACCUUCAAAAUCAUGACCCAGAGUGAGAUCCUUUGAGCUAACUAGGCUGGCCUCUUCCAUCUACCUUUACCUGUGUUUGAAUUAGACAUUUGCCAUCACAAGAUGGGUGUCUGGAUUUCACUUGCCUCAAAUAUCUCCGUAUGUGCUUGUAUCUUGUGUUUAUACAUAUAUAUGUAUUUAUUUAGGAUACCUUGUAGUAAGUCUGGAUCCUGUCAUUCUUGAAUUUGUAAUGAAGUUGCUGCUUUCAUUAUAACAUACUCUACUGAAUGACCUUCUUAAUUAUUAAUUAUUGGUUAAUUAUUGAGUCCUGCUGAAAUUCAACCUUUUGAUCCCCUCGUACUAUUAAUACAUCUUGAAUUGCUGCUAAAUCAUAACCAUGUCAAAAUACUUAAAUCUGUGACAUGGGUUGCACCCUGCCUCCAUGGAGCAGCUUUCCAUGUGCCAUGUUAAAUUUCAUUCACGUGGAGAUUUUCUAGCCUGUAGUUUUCCAGCUGCCUUAGUAAAAUCCAAAGUUGCUUCAGUGCAAACAGAACAGCAGAAAGUUGCUGAACAGGAGACCAGCACUACCUUGUACAGAAGAUAUCUCAGAAUGGCUGCUUAAUUUCACAAAAAUACUAGUAGUACUAGGCCAAAGAAGGAACAAACAACGAUGGGAAGGAAGCAAAGAGUACAUUUACAUGCAUCCAUAAUAUGGUAUUUGUUCAGACAAGUCUAGUCAAAACCCAGUGCAUGCUCAAAAUUGAGGGCCAUUAGGAGAUUAACGAGAUUAUCCUGUCUGGGUAAGUGAGCAGAACCAUUUUGUAAGGAGCAUUUACAAGAGCCUGGACCAUAUGGUCUAGGUGGAAAAAGAAAUGCAGACAACAAGCAGUAAUCUAACCAUGAGACCACCCAAGGGAAGUUUUAUUUCUUUCCUCUUGGCAUCUCUCUGUUGUCUUCCUGAGCAGUUACUCACUUCUGUGUCAGUUUUUACAUUGGUCAAAUAGUGUUAAAUCUACUUCUGGACUGGUGUGAUGUGAGAGUUAUGAUUUUGGAGAAUGCUUUGAAACUGGAUUUGGCACAAUACUUGUCACUGUCGAAUCAUAUUUUUAAAAUAUUGUUAUAAUCCUUUUUUCAGUAAUUCAAA